rnacentral:rRNA from 1 species
CGGCGGACGGGUGAGUAACGCGUGGGUAACCUGCCUCAUACAGGGGGAUAACAGUUGGAAACGGCUGCUAAUACCGCAUAAGCGCACAGUACCGCAUGGUACGGUGUGAAAAACUCCGGUGGUAUGAGAUGGACCCGCGUCUGAUUAGGUAGUUGGUGGGGUAACGGCCUACCAAGCCGACGAUCAGUAGCCGACCUGAAAGGGUGACCGGCCACAUUGGGACUGAGACACGGCCCAA